AGAGUUUGAUCCUGGCUCAGGACGAACGCUGGCGGCGUGCUUAACACAUGCAAGUCGAGCGGGGAUAUUGACUUCGGUUGAUAUUCUAGCGGCGGACGGGUGAGUAACGCGUGAACAAUCUGUCCCAGACAGGGGGAUAACACUUGGAAACAGGUGCUAAUACCGCAUAAGCCCUAAGGGGGAAAGAUUUAUCGCUAAAUGAUCGGCCCGCGGUAGAUUAGGUAGUUGGUGGGGUAAAGGCUUACCAAGCCUACGAUCUAUAGCUGGUCUGAGAGGACGACCAGCCACAUUGGGACUGAGACACGGCCCAAACUCCUACGGGAGGCAGCAGUGAGGAAUAUUGGGCAAUGGGGGGAACCCUGACCCAGCCAUGCCGCGUGAGUGAUAAGGUCUUCGGAUUGUAAAGCUCUUUCGGAUGUGAAGAUGAUGACGGUAGCAUCUAAAGAAGCCCCGGCAAACUUCGUGCCAGCAGCCGCGGUAAUACGAAGGGGGCGAGCGUUGUUCGGAAUUACUGGGCGUAAAGGGUGUGUAGGCGGAUAUGUAAGAUAGUGGUGAAAUGCCAGAGCUCAACUUUGGAACUGCCAUUAUAACUAUGUAUCUAGAGUGAUGAAGAGGAUAGCGGAAUACCCAGUGUAGAGGUGAAAUUCGUAGAUAUUGGGUAGAACACCGGUGGCGAAGGCGGCUAUCUGGGCAUCAACUGACGCUGAGGCACGAAAGCAUGGGGAUCAAACAGGAUUAGAUACCCUGGUAGUCCAUGCUGUAAACGAUGAAUGCUUGAUGUCGGCCAAGGGUCGGUGUCGGAGUUAACGCGAUAAGCAUUCCGCCUGGGGAGUACGGCCGCAAGGUUAAAACUCAAAGGAAUUGACGGGGACCCGCACAAGCGGUGGAGCAUGUGGUUUAAUUCGAUGCAACGCGAAGAACCUUACCAACUCUUGACAUCCUUAUCGCGGAGAUUGGAGACAAUUUCUAUCAGUUAGGCUGGAUAAGUGACAGAUGCUGCAUGGCUGUCGUCAGCUCGUGUCGUGAGAUGUUGGGUUAAGUCCCGCAACGAGCGCAACCCCUGCGAUCAGUUGCCAUCAGGUAAAGCUGGGCACUCUGAUUGGACUGCCGGUGACAAGCCGGAGGAAGGUGGGGAUGACGUCAAGUCAUCAUGGCUCUUACGAGUUGGGCUACACACGUGCUACAAUGGCGCUUACAGAGGGGAGCGAGGCAGUGAUGCUGAGCAAAUCUUAAAAAAGCGUCUCAGUUCAGAUUGUACUCUGCAACUCGAGUACAUGAAGUUGGAAUCGCUAGUAAUCGCAGAUCAGCAUGCCGCGGUGAAUACGUUCCCGGGUCUUGUACUCACCGCCCGUCA
rnacentral:rRNA from 1 species